rnacentral:rRNA from 1 species
GAGUGGCGGACGGGUGAGUAACGCGUGGGUAACCUGCCUGUACAGGGGGACAACAGUUGGAAACGACUGCUAAUACCGCGAUAAGCGCACAGCUUCGCAUGAAGCAGUGUGAAAAGUAUUUUCGGUACAAGAUGGACCCGCGUCUGAUUAGCUAGUUGGUGAGGUAACGGCCCACCAAGGCGACGAUCAGUAGCCGACCUGAGAGGGUGACCGGCCACAUUGGGACUGAGACACGGCCCAAACUCCUACGGGAGGCAGCAGUGGGGAAUAUUGCACAAUGGGCGAAAGCCUGAUGCAGCCGACGCCGCGUGAGCGAAGAAGUAUUUCGGUAUGUAAAGCUCUAUCAGCAGGGAAGAUAAUGACGGUACCUGACUAAGAAGCACCGGCUAAAUACGUGCCAGCCGCAGC